GAGGUCAGGGUGGAAGAGAGGAGAGCCCGGUAUGCAGAGAUCAAGGCUGUAUCUUCCAGCAAAAAAUGGGGAUUGGGCUCAAGGGCACAGUCACCUUCUCAGAGACCACAAGGGCAGAUCUUGUGCAACAUGGGAAAGAAGAAGCCAGAAUGAUAAAGGAAGUUGCUGGCCACAGGAGGAGGAAAUGAGGAGGUCCUCCCCCUAGUCAGUCCUCCACAUACAGCCCAGGGGAUGAGGAUCAUUUUUGUUCUGAUUGUCUCCUGAAUCCAGACCACCCCAGGGACCCUCCACGGAACCUGUUCUCCCUCCUGAUGGGUCUGCUGGUCUCUCUUCCUGAAGGGAUUCCAGACAUGGCCUGGGUCCUGCUUCUGCUGCUGCCAACAGCAUGCCUGCAAGCUGGGAACACAGCAGAAUCCAACAGAAAAAAGUUUUAUGGAUUUGGUCAGCCAACACGCAUCUCUGGUGUCCAGGGCGGCUCCAUCGAGAUCCCCUUCUUCUUCUACUUCUCCUGGGAGUUGGCAGAGGAUCCACAGAUGAAGAUUUUCUGGAGAUGGAAGCACUACCAUGGGGAAUAUAUCUACAACUCUUCCUCGGGUUUCAUACAUGAGCAUUUCAAGGACCGGCUCAUCCUGAACUGGACACAGCCUCAGAUAUCCGGAGUCCUCAGAAUCCUGGUCUUGAAGAAGAAGGACCAGACUGUGUACUUCUGCCGAGUUCAUCUGAAAACAACAAAAGGCAUGGAGAGUUUUCAGUCGAUCAAUGGGACCCAACUCACCGUCACUCCUGAGAAGACAAGAUGUGACCCUCACUCCAUCCCUCCUCAUCCAGGGAGGACCUGCUCACUCCUCAUCUCUCCCCAGCAUUCAGAACCAUUACGAAGAGCCCCUCCAUCGUCACCUCUGCAGUCACCACGGCUGGACUGGAAGACAUAGAGGGCCAGAGUAGUCCUUCUCUUGUGAGCCUGGGAGCCACAGUCGGGGUGGUGGUGGCCACGGCUGUGCUUAUAACCCCCAUCUAUGUGAUGUUGACUUUCCUCUGGUGGAAGAAAAGGCCAGCAGACUGAAGCCAACCCCAGCCAGGAACAGCACUGGCUGUUAGUCCUCAGCUGACAGAACUCCAGGGGCCAGCAUCCCUCACCAGCGUGGUGAGUUUCCAUCAAAGUAGGGAUUGGUGGCCACACAAACUGCAUCUCAACCCCUUCUUGACCAUGACCUGGGAAUCAGAGAAGCAGGGCUGCAGGCCUGUGCUGUGAAUCAUCCGUCCAUGGACAGGUACAGAAGAGAACCCCACUUCUGCCAGUUGCGCCCUGACUUCCUUUCCUAGGAAUCCAGUCAAUCUGUCUGUCUCUGGUCCUGAGAUCCCAACUGUGCUGUUUCCUAUCUGUUCAUGAAAUUUUUAAAUAAAUAUCCUACUCCCAGACAUGAUCUCAUGUCUCUCUUAGCGCUGCCCCCCACAAACACACACGAGACCUUAGAGAGUAGCAGAUUGUGUCCAUGAGCUGGGACACAGAGAGAAGCAGGUAACAAGGUCCACACUGAGAACCACUGCGUGAGAACCCUGUUCCUCUCUCCUGUUCUCCCUGGACACUGUCAUCUCGGCCACAACCCCUGACCACUCCAUGCUCCUCCUCAGGUGACAGACCAUGGCUUGAUUGGGUCCCAUGCUGGGCUUCCUAUCCUCACAGGCUCUUGCUUUCCUUA